CCAGCAGCCGCGGUAAUUCCAGCUCCAAUAGCAUAUAUUAAUGUUGUUGCAGUUAAAAAGCUCGUAGUUGGAUUUCUGUGAGUGUGCCAAUGUCGUCCCCAGUGAUUGCGCAGAGGCGCCUUGCAUCCUUCGGUAGUUUCCGCACGGCAUUCACUUGCCGGCGGCCGGCUCCGAAUAUUUACCUUGAGAAAAUUAGAGUGUUUCAGGCAGGCUAAGCCGGAAUACAUUAGCAUGGAAUAAUAGAAUAGGACUACGGUCUCGUUGUUGGUUUGAGGGACUGGAGUAAUGAUUAAUAGGGAUAGUUGGGGGCAUUAGUAUUUAAUUGUCAGAGGUGAAAUUCUCAGAUUAACUAAAGACUAACUUAUGCGAAAGCAUUUGCCAAGGAUGUUUUCAUUAAUCAAGAACGAAAGU
rnacentral:rRNA from 1 species